rnacentral:rRNA from 1 species
GGCUCAGAGCGAACGCUGGCGGCAGGCUUAACACAUGCAAGUCGAACGGGCACUUCGGUGCUAGUGGCAGACGGGUGAGUAACACGUGGGAACGUACCUUUCGGUUCGGAAUAAUUCAGGGAAACUUGGACUAAUACCGGAUACGCCCUUCGGGGGAAAGAUUCAUCGCCGAUAGAUCGGCCCGCGUCUGAUUAGCUAGUUGGUGAGGUAAUGGCUCACCAAGGCGACGAUCAGUAGCUGGUCUGAGAGGAUGAUCAGCCACAUUGGGACUGAGACACGGCCCAAACUCCUACGGGAGGCAGCAGUGGGGAAUAUUGGACAAUGGGCGCAAGCCUGAUCCAGCCAUGCCGCGUGAGUGAUGAAGGCCUUAUGGUUGUAAAGCUCUUUUGUCCGGGAAGAUAAUGACUGUACCGGAAGAAUAAGCCC